CAAACUGUGGUGUGUUGGAAAUUUGUCUGGCCGAAGAUACAAAUCCAGAAGAUCAGCCGAGUCGUCCUGUAAAGAGCUGCAAUACCACUUCAAGUGGAGAUACUGAAGUGGACUCAGAUGACACAAUAAUAUUACAACACAGUCCUACAACAAGACGAAGAGUUGAAGACACCUCUCUUGCCAAAGUGGUUUCUGUCAUUGGUGAGGAUGCAUCAUCCGUUGAAGGUCAUGUGAAUGUCCUGCAUAUCCAGUACAGCAAGGUGCGAGAGGAUAUACUAAAGAAGUUCCCUUUCUUGAAGACAACCUCAGGGGUCAGUGACAUUUUAAAUCAGUUCUCAGCUUAAAAUAAAUUUUGAAUGUUAAUAUAAGCUGAGACAUCUGCUGACCAUUAACAGCUUUAACUCAAUUGUAAAAACAUUGUAAUUUUCUAAACCCAUAUAUAAAUAUAUAGUCAUUCAAGCCAUGUAAUAUUUAUACAAUGAGAUAACUAAA